AUCGUAAGUAGGAGCACGGGAUUGCCUCAGUAACGGCGAGUGAAAGCGGCAACAGCUCAAAUUUGAAAUUCUGGAGCCUUYGGSUUUCCGAGUUGUAAUUUGAAGAGGAUGUUUCGGUGCGGCCUGGGCCUAAGUUCCUUGGAACAGGACGUCAUGGAGGGUGAGAAUCCCGUACAUGGCUGCAGGCUUGCUUCUAUGUGAAACACCUUCGAAGAGUCGAGUUGUUUGGGAAUGCAGCUCAAAAUGGGUGGUAAAUUUCAUCUAAAGCUAAAUAUUGGCGGGAGACCGAUAGCGCACAAGUAGAGUGAUCGAAAGAUGAAAAGCACUUUGAAAAGAGAGUUAAACAGUACGUGAAAUUGUUGAAAGGGAAGCGCUUGCAAUCAGACUCGCCUUCAGUUGAUCAGCCUUCCUUCUGGUUGGUGCACUCUGCUGUUGGCGGGCCAGCAUCGGUUGGGGCGGCGGGACAAAGGCGGCAGGAAUGUGGCUCCCCCGGGAGUGUUAUAGCCUGCCGUGCCAUGCCGCCAGCCCCGACUGAGGUCCGCGGUUCGCCUAGGAUGCUGGCUUAAUGGUUGUAAGCGACCCGUCUUGAAACACGGACCAAGGAGUCUAACAUCUAUGCGAGUCUUUGGGUGUAAAACCCAUGGGCGAAAUGAAAGUGAACGGAGGUGGGAGUCCUCGGAUGCACCAUCGACCGAUCCUGAUGUUCUCGGAUGGAUUUGAGUAGGAGCAUAGCUGUUGGGACCCGAAAGAUGGUGAACUAUGCCUGAAUAGGGUGAAGCCAGAGGAAACUCUGGUGGAGGCUCGCAGCGGUUCUGACGUGCAAAUCGAUCGUCAAAUUUGGGUAUAGGGGCGAAAGACUAAUCGAACCAUCUAAUACUGGUCUCCACCCCCCCCCCCCCCAAAAAAAAAAAAAAAAAAUUUUUCCAC
rnacentral:rRNA from 1 species